AAUAGGGUUGCUCAUAAUAUUAUGGUCCAAAAAUAAAUAAAAAACUUAAAUUUAAAUCUAAUAAACCUGAGAAUCGUUGUUGUAGGAAGAAGGGGAAGGAACCUAUAAGACACGGUUCGUGUCAAAAUGUGGUUGGCUCCUGGGUAGAUAUAAAAGAUAAAUUCUUUUUUUCCUAUUUUUCUUCUUUCCUCUUUGCAACUCUCUCUCUCUUCUCUUUGGUUUUACACAAACUGAUCGUUUGAAGGUGCAUAUUGCUGUAAUGGCGGUUUAACAUGUCCUGCAUCUGAGUUUAUCGAAGAGACAUUUCUUCUUUCGGUUAAGCGCGCUCUCCCUAGCAAGAAUGAAAAAGGGUUUGGUCAGGAGUUCAUAGUUGAUCUCUUUUUGUUUCGUUUUGUGCAAUGUCUUCGAUCACUUGUUCAGCCUGCAACUAGAAGAGGAAGAUGAUGUAAACGUGGUACUCUUUGGGCUUUGCUCUGAAACUGUAAUCAGAUAGAUGUUUUGUGGCAAAAAUUUGGUGCAACCCAACAUGAUCUCUCCUACAUCUACCCUUGAUCAGUUCUUGCCAAGCUUGGUUAAUUAAGCAUUUUAAUGUUGUAUUUUUCUUGUAAAUUAUAUCUCAUGAUUUUUG